CAUAACCAAGAUGUGAACUCUUUGGGACUAAUCUCAUCUCGCAAAACUUCUGAAGCUGUUGAUAUUCUCAAGCUUAUGUCAACAACGUUCCUCGUUGCGAUUUGUCAAGCUGUGGAUUUGAGACAUUUGGAGGAGAAUCUGAAACAGACUGUGAAGAACACUGUUUCUCAAGUGGCCAAGAAAGUUCUUACUACUGGUGUCAAUGGUGAGCUUCAUCCUUCUCGCUUCUGCGAGAAGGAUUACUCAAAGUCGUGGACCGUGAACAAGUCUACACAUAUGCGGAUGAUCCUUGUAGCGCAACGUACCCGUUGAUUCAGAAGCUAAGACAAGUUAUAGUUGAUCAUGCUUUGAUCAAUGGUGAGAGUGAGAAGAAUGCAGUGACUUCAAUCUUCCAUAAGAUUGGAGCUUUCGAGGAGGAGCUUAAAGCGGUGCUUCCGAAAGAAGUGGAGGCAGCAAGAGCGGCAUACGACAACGGAACAUCAGCUAUCCCGAACAGGAUCAAGGAAUGUAGGUCGUAUCCUUUGUAUAGAUUCGUGAGGGAGGAGCUUGGAACAGAGCUUUUGACCGGAGAGAAAGUGACGUCGCCCGGAGAAGAGUUUGAUAAAGUGUUCACGGCGAUUUGUGAAGGUAAAAUCAUUGAUCCGAUGUUGGAAUGUCUCAACGAGUGGAACGGAGCUCCCAUUCCUAUAUGUUAAGAGUAAAGUCCUAUGUUUUUUUUCUUACCAUAAAGUCUUUUUUUUUUUUUUUUUUUACAUGUCUGAAUAAUUUUACCAAAUGAUUGUCUGUGAAGUGGUUUUAUGUCUGUCUAAUUUAAAUUUGUGUGUAAAACUCAUUGUAAGUUCUCAAAUGAACAAUUUUUCUUUUACUACAAAAUGUGUGAAUCAUACCUUUCUUUUUUCUCA